rnacentral:sRNA from 1 species
UUUUUUCCCUUCCUUCCUGCUAUGUACAAAUCAUUGGUUAGAAGUUACUAUUUAUCAUGGAAACUGCAGAGAGGGCCCCCUACUCCCCAUUUAUCUGCAUCUGUCUCAAAAGGAAGCAAGAAUUAAUUCAGCAGGGAUUAGUUAAAAAAAAAAAGACCCAUAUUGAGACAACUGCCGAUUUAGAACUAUCCUGAAGAUUAUUGGUUUAAUAGAGUGGAAAAAACCACGCACGUAUAUUAGUUUUGAUGGAGGAUAGACAGGAGAACAGGAGUAUGUGUAAAGAAUCGCUGACUGACUUAAAUAGGCUUAAGUAAUUUAAACCGGCCCCCAGUGAGGCUUCCACGGUGCGUUCUGUAUCGUCUAAAUUUCUAAAUACCUGGCAUAGAUUUGUAAAUGCGGCAGUCUAAUGUGUUAUUGGGCAGCAAUUCGAGUUUAAAUGAGCAUGUGGGAUGGUUUAACAGCUGAUUGCACAGCGUGAAUGACUGCAGCGGAACUGUCAGGUUGGGAAGCGGUGCUGGUAGGGGAAUUCAUGCAGUUAGCACCCAGAGUCGCGCAUGCGUGUUACUUAGCGCAGAGACCUAGGAACUUAGCCCAGGUCUCUUGAUACAAAAGGGAAAUGGAGGGCAAGAAGGGAGGAUUGGAGUCUGAUUUGAGGGGCAGCAUAAAACUUGUCUCUGCCUGCAUGCAACCUUCACCUCUUCUGUGAGUCAUCCAUGGGGCGCCCUGGCCACUCAGCACUGCACCUCUUGUAGGAAGCGGUCGAUCUGAGGUGUGGCUCUGUUCAGGCUUUAAUCUCCCCCACCCCAGUGGUGGCUGUGUUACCCGUUUUGUCUUUGCCAAGAGCCUGUGGACUGCUAGUCAGUGAGAAGUAGCCACGAGAGCAGGAGGAAGGUGGGGCAGACGCUUGGCUACCGAGAUGCCCAAGUCCCCACCUUAACCUCGAUCCUUUCUCCCUGGUGGCUUGGAGUUGGAAGCAAGGGCUUAGCUUUUCCAGCCACUGCCUUUAUGGACAAGGUGGCACUUCCCUGUGGGAUUUGUCCCCUCCUAGCCAUCUCUCAGGCAGUCACAAUGAGGGGACCAGGGGAGACUGAGACUAGACUUCAGGAAAGAAAGCCCUCUUGUUUCCAGGAAGGGAUGUCAGCAAUAGGGCAGGACUAGGACGGAGGCUUGAGUCUUGGAAAGGUGUCAGGGAUGCCUUUCCUCCAGCCUGUGGUCACUGUGUGGGGUCGGCAAGGACUAACUGCCCGAAGAUCACAGCGCACACGUGAAGGUCAGAUGACAACUUGCAGGGGUCAGUUCUCUUCCUCCACCACGUGGCUCCCAGGGGAAGGGGACCUCAGGCUUGUCAGGCGCCGGAGGGAAUCAGAACUAGAUUCCACUUGGUAAGCGGACGCGGCGAUGAAGACAGGAAUCAACACCACUGUUGAAACGGACCGACAGGAUCCAGCAUAGCUCAUCCCAUGGCUCCCUGCCACUGCGUUUAUAAUCCAUUCCCCUGCCCCCCCCCCCCAAACUGUAUAAAAGCCAUUGGCAAGGACAGUCGCCACAAACAGCAGGCAAACGGAGACCGAAGAGCUGAGCCAACAAGGAUCUCCACUACCCUCUAAUCCGGCCUGCACCAAACAAAACACAACUCGGUAGGAAACACCAUGAGUGAACAGAAGCCUCACUGGAGAGCUCACUGUGGAUGAAUGCCAGGUGACUAUUGGUGCCCAUCGCCAAGGACUUACUUUUCCCUGUUUAAGGACACAUACAGGGUUAGGGGGAAAGACUCUCUGGCAAUUACAGAGUCUGGUCUUGGUUAAGACGGGGCUUAGCAUCAACACUAUUAUAUUUUCUCUAUCCAAGCACCUGUUUGAGAAGAUUCCAAACUGUAUAAAUGAUUUCAGACUUAUUUCAAUUAAAUUUUUAUUCCCCUUCUAGGGGAAUUAGGGGGUCUCUCUUCUCCUUUGGUGAGCAUAAAACAAUACCCUUCUAGUCCCGAGUUGUCAUGGAGCCCUGGAACCCUGGUCUGGUCCUUUCACUCUCCCUGCCUACCCUGGGGGAUUCCACUCUAGGCUGUCUUCUGCCUAAAUGGCAGAGUCCCACGAUUGCUAAGCUAGCUGCCUCUGGGAACUGGAUGGAUUCCAUGCUGGUUAAUCCUGAUCGUCAGCAUCCUGGGCUCUAGAAUCACCUGGAAGACCAAUCUCUGUGUAAGUCUGUGAAGUGUUUUCUGGAUGGUUGAUGGAGGCAGAAAGAUGCAGCCUUGGUGAGAGA